AUCCCCUGACAAUGGGCAAAGAGACACUUGGUUGAUGGUGGUUUCCUUAUGUCAGUCAGGAGCAGGGCAGAGAGCUCUGCUUUUACAUUCCACCUUGAUGUCUGGCUUGAUGGCCAAAGCUAUCUUGUGUCUUGGACUCAUAC